rnacentral:rRNA from 1 species
AUACGUAGGGUGCGAGCGUUAAUCGGAAUUACUGGGCGUAAAGCGUGCGCAGGCGGUUGUGUAAGACAGGUGUGAAAUCCCCGGGCUUAACCUGGGAACUGCGCUUGUGACUGCACGGCUAGAGUACGGCAGAGGGGGGUGGAAUUCCUGGUGUAGCAGUGAAAUGCGUAGAUAUCAGGAGGAACACCGAUGGCGAAGGCAGCCCCCUGGGCCGAUACUGACGCUCAUGCACGAAAGCGUGGGUAGC